UCGGAUACACGUCCAGUGCGUG
rnacentral:siRNA from 1 species